ACUUAAAUAAUUUAAAAUUAAAAUGUUGAUUUGUGGAGUCAAUUAUAUGAGAUAUCAUUUUAAGUU
rnacentral:tRNA from 1 species